rnacentral:rRNA from 1 species
CAGUCGCCGCGGUAAUACGAAGGGGGCUAGCGUUGUUCGGAUUUACUGGGCGUAAAGCGCACGUAGGCGGAUCGAUCAGUCAGGGGUGAAAUCCCAGAGCUCAACUCUGGAACUGCCUUUGAUACUGUCGAUCUGGAGUAUGGAAGAGGUGAGUGGAAUUCCGAGUAUAGAGGUGAAAUUCGUAGAUAUUCGGAGGAACACCAGUGGCGAAGGCGGCUCACUGGUCCAUUACUGACGCUGAGGUGCGAAAGCGUGGGGAGCUAACAGGAUUAGAUACCCCUGUAGUCCCUGUCUCUUAUAC